rnacentral:rRNA from 1 species
UCCUGCUGACGAGCGGCGGACGGGUGAGUAACGCGUGGGAAUCUGCCCAUUGGUGGGGGAUAGCCCGGAGAAAUCCGGAUUAAUACCGCAUAAUACCUAAGGGUUAAAACAGGGGAUCUUCGGACCUUGUGCCAAUGGAUGAGCCCGCGUCAGAUUAGCUAGUUGGUAAGGUAAUGGCUUACCAAGGCGACGAUCUGUAGCUGGCCUGAGAGGGUGGUCAGUCACACUGGAACUGAGACACGGUCCAGACUCCUACGGGAGGCAGCAGUGGGGAAUAUUGGGCAAUGGGCGCAAGCCUGACCCAGCCAUGCCGCGUGUGUGAAGAAGGCUUUCGGGUUGUAAAGCACUUUAAGUUGGGAGGAAGGCUGAACGGUUAAUACCCGUUUGGAUUGACGUUACCAACAGAAUAAGCACCGGCUAAUUCCGUGCCAGCAGCCGCGGUAAUACGGAAGGUGCGAGCGUUAAUCGGAAUUACUGGGCGUAAAGCGCACGUAGGUGGUUUGUUAAGUUGGAUGUGAAAGCCCAGGGCUCAACCUUGGAAUUGCAUCCGAUACUGGCAGGCUAGAGUACAGUAGAGGGAGGUGGAAUUUCCGGUGUAGCGGUGAAAUGCGUAGAGAUCGGAAGGAACACCAGUGGCGAAGGCGGCCUCC